UACGUAGGAGGCAAGCGUUGUCCGGAUUCACUGGGCGUAAAGGGUGCGUAGGCGGUCGGGUAAGUCUGAUGUGAAAUCUCACAACUUAACUGUGAAACUGCAUUGGAUACUAUCCGGCUAGAGGAAUGGAGGGGAGACUGGAAUACUUGGUGUAGCAGUGAAAUGCGUAGAUAUCAAGUGGAACACCGAUGGCGAAGGCAGGUCUCUGGGCAUUAACUGACGCUGAGGAGCGAAAGCAUGGGGAGCGAACAGG
rnacentral:rRNA from 1 species